rnacentral:misc_RNA from 1 species
UCUCUCUCUCUCUCUCUCUCAGGGCUUGGCAGGAUGAAAUCAAUACUAUAAGGGUAGGGAUUCAACACAAAACGUCCAUAGAUUUAAGGGUUCAAUAACAAAAAAGCCAAAGUUCAAAAUUCAGACCUCCCUUAAGUUUAGAAAUACAGCUACCACCAGGUUUAAGCUAUUAAUUGCAUCUAACAACUCAGAUAGGCAAUAUCAGAAUGUAUUAGCCAGGGAGCCGGGAGGUUGAUUUUCAGUGAAAUAUUUUUGGAGUUAAAAUGAAGGAAAUCUCCUUUAACUCCAAAAUGAGUAUACAACACACUUAGAAAAUCACAUACUUCUUUAUGUAAUUAAUUUGCUAAUAACUUUACUUAAUAUUUGGUGAAUAAUUGAGUGGGGAAGGGACGUGGGGUUAAAGAUUUCAUGAGAAUGAAAGAAGAUUGAUUUACAGAUAUAGAGUUCAAUAUGUAGACACUCAC